GUCUCAAAGAUUAAGCCAUGCAUGUCUCAGUACAAGCCAAAUUAAGGUGAAACCGCGAAAGGCUCAUUAAAUCAGUUAUGGUUCCUUAGAUCGUACCCACAAUUACUUGGAUAACUGUGGUAAUUCUAGAGCUAAUACAUGCAAACAGAGCUCCGACCGGAGACGGAAGGAGUGCUUUUAUUAGAUCAAAACCAAUCGGUGGCGGGUUCGCGCUCGUUAUCGUACAACUUGGUGACUCUGAAUAACUUUACGCUGAUCGCACGGUCAUCGCACCGGCGACGCAUCUUUCAAAUGUCUGCCUUAUCAACUGUCGAUGGUAGGUUCUGCGCCUACCAUGGUUGUAACGGGUAACGGGGAAUCAGGGUUCGAUUCCGGAGAGGGAGCCUGAGAAACGGCUACCACAUCCAAGGAAGGCAGCAGGCGCGCAAAUUACCCACUCCCGGCACGGGGAGGUAGUGACGAAAAAUAACGAUACGGGACUCAUCCGAGGCCCCGUAAUCGGAAUGAGUACACUCUAAACCCUUUAACGAGGAUCAAUUGGAGGGCAAGUCUGGUGCCAGCAGCCGCGG
rnacentral:rRNA from 1 species